CAGAGAAUGAGAACUCGUAGUCCCUUUCCAUUGAUCUAGUACAUAUUUAUACACAGUGAAGGGGUGUCUUUGUACCCCUUCGUGGAUUACAGAGAGAGAGAAAGAGUUACAACUUUUCACUAACAGACACCUUUUCACUAACUAUCUCUAUUUCCCGGAGUCCUUUGCUUCAUGCAUCCUGGCGACGAACGGUUGUACCUUUUCCUGAACGGGUGUCUUUUCAUAAAGAUGAGAUCACCGUUGAAUUAAUUCUUAACACUCCCCCUUGAUCGAAUCCAUUUUUAUUGAGAUCAACUUGGAAUAUAUAAACUAACAAUCUCUAAUCUAUUAUGUCUAUUAUUAUCUUGUAAAAACCCUGUGGGAAAAAUAGAUGAUAUGACAUAUGUCCUAUGUUGAUAUUACCUCAUUAAAAACUUUAUAUGGUAAAACCUCAUCGAGGGAAAAAUCCAUAGAAAGAAAAGAGUAUAAUAUAAUGUCAACUAGGUUAUAUUUUGGAGAGUUAUACUCCCCCUAAUUCCUGCAAAUCUCUAAGUCGUCUCAUACCUAUUCCUUUAACAUAUUUCGAAAAUGUGGAAUAUGGUAAUGACUUUGUAAAUAAGUCACCAAGAUUAUCACAUGACUUAGUUUGCAAAAUGUUUAUUUCCCCAUCCUUUUGUAACUCAUGAGGGUAAAACAAUUUUGGAGCAAUAUGUUUUGUAAUAUUACUUUUUAUAUAACCAGUCUCCAUCUGAACAACACAGGCAGCAUUAUCUUCAUAGAUAAUGGUUGGUGAGUUAAUUGAACCAAUGCCACAUGACUGCGUUAUGUGGUUUAUCAUUCUGCGAAGCCAAGUACACUCCUUAGAGGCUUCAUAUAAUGCAAUAAUUUCAGAAUGAUUAGUGGAGGUAGCUACCAAAGUUUGUUUGGAUGAUUUCCAAGAGAUAGCAGUUCCACCCUGUAAAAAUACAAAACCGGUUUGAGAUCUGGCAUUAUGGGGAUCAGAUAAAUAGCCAGCAUCAGUAUAUCCAAUUAAAGUAGGGUCUUGACUUCUACUAUAGAAAAGACCAAGAUCUUUCGUGCCAUUAAGAUAUCUAAAAAUAUUCUUAAUUCCAGUCCAAUGACGUUUUGUAGGAGCUGCACUAUAUCUCGCAAGUAAAUUCACUGCAAAUGCAAUGUCCGGCCGGGAAUUAUUUGCAAGAUACAUGAGUGCUCCAAUAGCACUGAGAUAUGGAAAUUCAGAACCCAAAAUCUCUUCUCCUUCAUCCUUUGGUCGAAAAGGAUCUUUAUUCAUAUCGAGAGAUCUUACAACCAUAGGAGUUUUGACUGGAUAUGCUUUAUCCAUAUUGAAUUUCUCUAAUACUUUCUGGAUAUAUGCCGAUUGAUAUAUAAAAAUUCCUGAAGGUAAAUAUUCAAGUUGAAUACCUAAACAAAAUUUGGUUUGACCCAAAUCCUUCAUCUCAAAUUCCGUCUUUAAAUGAUGACGUGCUUCAUUUAUAUCUUUUUCGCUUCCAAUAAUAUUGAGGUCAUCAACAUAUACUGAAAUGAUACAAAAUCCAGUGGAGGACUUCUUAAUGAACACACAUGGACAAUCAUCAUUAUUAGUGUAUCCUUUAAGAGAAAGGAAUUCACUUAAGCGAUUGUACCACAUUCGCCCUGAUUGUUUUAAGCCAUACAGUGACUUUUUCAACUUUACACAAUACAUGUUACGAUUUGCCGAUGGAUUCGGUAUAUUUAUUCCAUCUGGAACUUUCAUAUAAAUUUCCGAAUCCAGUGACCCAUAUAAAUAUGCGGUUACUACGUCCAUCAACUGCAAAGAUAGACGAUUUUGUACUGCCAGUGAAAUUAAGUAUCGAAAUGUUAUGCCACUCAUUACUGGAGAAUAUGUUUCAUUAUAAUCAAUGCCGGGCUUUUGCGUAAAGCCUUGUGCUACUAACCUUGCUUUAUAUCUCACCACUUCGUUGUUUUCGUUUCGCUUACGAACGAAAACCCACUUGUAUCCUACUGGGAAGGUGCCUUUAGGUGUUAACAUCACUUCCGAGAAUACUUCUCUUUUAUAAAGCGAGGCAAUCUCUUUUUCAAUAGCUUCUUUCCACUGAUUCCAGUCUGAGCGUUUUCUACACUCUACCAUGGAUUUAGGAUCUAGAUCAUUAAGGAUGUCAGCAACUUGUUCAGAGAAAUAAGAGUCGACUACAGUAGCCUUGCGGUCAAAGGUUUCACCAGUUUCAAUAUAAUUGGUAGCAAGUUCAUCUACCCUUAAGGACACAUCAGGAUUUCCCAUAUCCAUGGUCCUCGGGUUUUCCGAUAUUACUUCUUCGACUAUGUGCGCAUUCGAAGAGGGUUGUGUAUCAAUUCCACAUUGUGUUUCAUCAACUUGUUGUUGAUGUGCAUUUACCGUCUUUCUUUUCUUUAAAGGAGGCGAAUCCUUAUUGGUUGCCUUACUUCUCCCCCUUUUAUUAGUAGGAUUUUGAGUGGUUUUGUUUGGUACCUCCACUCUUUCAGGCGCGUUCCUAGCAGGAAUGAAAGACUUUAUUACACCUUUGUAAUUAGUGAAUGCAUCAGGCAGGUUAUUUGCAAUAUUUUGCAAACCAAUAAUUUUCUGAACUUGUAGUUCAUUUUCUUUAGUACGGGGAUCUGAGGAGGAGAUACUCUUCGCAUCCCAAUCAAUUUCUUGGCAUUCUCCUUUCUGGUACUUGAAAUCUCCCCCUAAUGCCGGGAAAUGCUCCUCAUUAAAAAUACAAUCAGCGAACCGGGCCGUAAAUAGAUCACCCGUUAGGGGUUCUAAAUACUUUAUUAUUGACGGAGAUUGGUAACCCACAUAAAUCCCUAACUUUCUGUGGGGGCCCAUAGAGGUACGCUGUGGUGGUGAUAUCGGUAUAUAAACGGCACACCCGAAUUUACGCAAAUGGGAAAUCCUAGGAGGGUCCCCUCGUACUAACUCCAAGGGAGAGGAGUCAUGAUAUGCAGUUGGUCUUAGUUGUAGUAGGUCGGCAGAGUGUAAAACUGCAUGACCCCAACAUGACGUAGGCAAAGAGCAAUUCAUUAGUAAUGGACGCGCAACGAGCUUUAUUCUUUUGAUUAAAGAUUCAGCCAAACCAUUUUGAGUGUGGACAUAUGGGACUGAGUGCUGAACCUGAAUUCCUAAAGCCAUACAAUAAUCAUUAAAGGCAUGGGAGGAGAAUUCAGCAGCAUUGUCCAUUCGGAUCGAUUGGAUCCGAUGUUCAGGAUAAUGUGCCUUUAGCUUUAUAAUUUGUGACAUUAUUUUAGCAAAAGCAUGGUUUCUAGUUGACAGUAAACACACAUGUGACCAUCUUGUAGAUGCAUCGAUUAAAACCAUAAAAUAUCUGAACGGUCCAGAAGAUGGCUCAAUUGGGCCACAAAUAUCGCCUUGAAUUCUUUCAAGAAAUCUAAGUGGUUCCGCUCGGAUUUUAAGAGGUGAAGGUCUUAAAAUCAAUUUCCCUGUAGCACAUGCAGUGCAUAUGUAAUCUGAAGAUUUGGGAAAUUUUGCUUCAGUCAAAUCAUGACCAAUCGAAUUGGUGAUAAUUUUUCUCAUCAUCCCGAUACCUGGGUGCCCUAGUCGAUCAUGCCAAAUUUGAAAUGCAUCGACAUUCUGAAAAAUUACCUUGUAUGUAACAUGUUCAAUGGGCUUGAUGUAUGUAUAAUAUAAUCCGGAUUCUAGAGUUGGAAUUUUUUCACAUAUCUGUUUGCCAUAUUCAGUAGGUUUGGUAAGAAGUAGAUAUUCUUCUUUAUUUUCUUCAUAUGUUUCCACAUGGAUCCCAUUCUUACGAAUAUCUCUAUAACUUAAUAAGGUACGAGUUGAAUCGGGAUAUAAUAAAGCAUUCUCGAUCACAAUUUGAGUACCCAUUGGAAGAGUGAUAAUGGCUCUGCCAGAACCGACUAUCAAUGCAUCUCUUCCAGCAAUUGUUAAAACAUUUCCUUCCCUUUUCUUUAAAGUCUGGAAAUAUUUUAUCUCAGUUAAUAUAGAGUUUGUGGUACAGCUAUCCACAAGGCAUAAUUCCUCCUCCAAUGAACCAUUUCCGGUAGACAUCUAUAUUAAUAACAAGAAUUAUGUGAUUAAUUCUUUAUUUUAUUAAAUAUUUAUUUAUACAUACAUAUGGUAUCUGAUAUCAAUAUUACAAUAAUAAUAUUAUGGUAUAUAUGAGUUUUUGUACUAUCAUUAGUACAACUCUUAUUGUAAUAACUAUAUUCAAAUCCUAAGCAAACUCUAUAUAAUAUGACUUCUAACUAUGAAUUAUAUUACAACACUUAAAUGAUUUGGGUAUCAAAUUUCAAAAGUAGAUAUCUAAACUAGAUCUCCACAUAUGUCGCCCGAGUUGUAUUCAAUCAUCAUGUCGUCCAUCUGCUGAGCGGAUGCCUUGUUGUUGGAACAACCAAUCUCCUUAUCUUUCUCAGUAGCUUGAUUGAAGUGGGCUUCAUAUCUUGAUCUUUUAUUGCCAUCUCGGAGUGACCUUAAAUAAAGGUCUACCAAAUGCUUAGGAGUACGGCAAGUGGCCGCGAAAUGCGUGUUACAACCACACUUGUGACAAAGACGUGGUUUGUCAUUUGCAAUUUUUUCAUUUCCACGAGCUCUCUUGUUUUCUUUAUGCCUAAGGUUCUUUUUAUAGUUGCGACCACGAUGAGCAGGAGGAAAUUUUGGAUUUCUAAGUGGAGAUCCAUUAAAUUUCCUUUUAUUCAGAGCUUUAUUCUGUGCAUGGUGGACCUCGGGUAGAGGUGCAGCACCAACUGGACGUAAAUGAUGGUUCUUCAUAAGUAACUCAUCAUUCUUCUCGGCUUGAAUUAGUGAGUGAAUAAGCUGGGAAUAAACUUGGUGGUUCUCUUUACGAUAUUGAUUACACAAUACCCUGUCUGACGGGUGCAUAGUAGAUAAAGUUUUUUGUAUCUUUUCUGCAUCCGUUGGUUCUUUUUCACAAAAUUUCAACCUUGUGCAUAUGUUAUGAACUGUAUGAUUGUAAUCAGUUACAGAUUUAAAAUCUUGUAAGCGUAGAUGAUUCCACUCAUGUUGUGCUUCAGGACAUAUAAUUUCCUUUUGCUGUUCAUAACGUUCUUGAAGUGCGACCCAUAGGUUUCGAGGAUUUUCUUCCAAAAGAUAUUCUUUCUUUAGAUCUUUAUGGAUGGAAGUCCUUAACAAGAGUAAUGCAGUGUACUUCGCAAUAUCAGUUAUAUUUGGAUUGUUUGCGUCAGGUGCAUUAAUGGUAUGUAAAAUCCCUCUAGAUGCAAAACCAAUUUUGAUAUCUGAUGCCCAUGCAAGAUAAUUGCUACCAUCGAUAGCAAGUUCCUCAAAUUCCUUUAUUCCUUGCAUUUUGCAGUUUUCUUCGCGUUCUUCUGUUCUUGUAUUCUGCGAUGUUUUUCCUUUCUUCGCGUUCUUCUGUUCUUCUAUUUCUUCGCGUUCUUCUGUUCUUCUAUUCCACGAUGUUUCCUCUGUCCAAAACUCAGUGUCUGAGUCUAUGUGCUGAUAACGUAUUAAAAGUAAACGGUUGUGUGAACAGAGAAUGAGAACUCGUAGUCCCUUUCCAUUGAUCUAGUACAUAUUUAUACACAGUGAAGGGGUGUCUUUGUACCCCUUCGUGGAUUACAGAGAGAGAGAAAGAGUUACAACUUUUCACUAACAGACACCUUUUCACUAACUAUCUCUAUUUCCCGGAGUCCUUUGCUUCAUGCAUCCUGGCGACGAACGGUUGUACCUUUUCCUGAACGGGUGUCUUUUCAUAAAGAUGAGAUCACCGUUGAAUUAAUUCUUAACAGAGACGAAUCGCACCGGCGGCACCAUCCUCCGUCAGCGUCCACGUCCGCAUCCGCACGACUCCAUCCAUGCUCGUGCCCUGGGGCUGCGACCGCGCGAGGGAGCCGAGCCGGUCAAGGUCCAGGACCGACAAGUCGCUUGCCGGCCACUUGCCCCCAAGCCCCACCUGCCGGCCGGGGGGCGGCCGAUCCGUUCCGUUCCGUUCCGCGGCGCGAAGCCGGGCACGGAGCUACCCAGUUCGUUUGCUGCUAGCUUUUCCCGCGAGGCAGGCGAGGCCGCUGCCAGCUGCCUCGCCGCCCAGUCGCCCCCCGGCUCGCGCCGCUCCGUUGACGGGGUCCACGCGACGGCGACCGUCCGCAUACAUCCAGAUGGCAGAUCCAGUGCAAGUGCGGCCCGGCCGAACGGGACGGCAUCCGGCCCCGCGACCCCGUCUCGCGCGUGUUUUCUGCCUGGGACCAUGCCAUCUGGGUGGCUUUAUUUGGUGGGGCCCAGGGGGGACGGAGAUCGGUUUCCUGGGGACGCGUGGAGCGCUCCGGUUGGCAGGAGGAUAUUGUCGCGGCCACAUGUUCCACGUGCUCCUCCCCCCCUCCCUCUAGUACCAUGCUCUUGUUUACAGCACACCCUAGAAGCGCUGUCCCCUCCUUUUUUUUUCUUUCUUUCCAUGAAACAUGUGGGCAUGUCGGCUAAAUGGAGCACAAUGUUCGCGCGCUUAAUUCACAACGCGACAUGCUAAUGAAUAAUAUUGUUCUUGCCAUAUGCUCCACGCCAGAGCACGAUACCAAUCGCCACGUUCUCCAAGUCACUCGUAUAAAGGUCUUAUGGACACGAAAGUACAAUUCACUUUGUUUCUUUUUCGUAAGGCACUGUUGUUUCUAAGGCUAUCGCAUCAACAUUUAUCUAGUAAACAGCUCAUAUUCUAUAAAACUCCUUCAUAUCUUUCUUCAGUAAAUUGUAUGCCAUACUAUCACAUUAACUGCUCUCUAGGCUAGAGCCCAUUUCGCCGGCAGCAGGCAAAACCAUUGUUCCUUGCUCUUAUGUGGCUUGUUAUUUAAUGAAAACGAAACUCCUAGUGAGAAUGGCCCAACAUGUUCGCUUCAGUUAAAUCCUGCAGCCAAACACCAUUUUAUAUUUGGUGUCCUCGGAUUCAUAGAUGAAAGUAAGUACUUGCAUAUAUAAUGUGACAAAAAAAACAUUCAACGGUUACUUUAGAACUUGUGUUUCCUUUUUUUUGAUUAUGGAAACAAAAUGUUCCAGCCUUUUGCAAUCUCUUACAUACGGCCUUACAAAUCGAAAAAAAAUCAUCCAUCGUAAACAUUCUUUGAAAUAAAACAUCAACAAAUCAAGCUCCUUCUAAUCUAGCAUUGGACCUCCAUCCAUGGCUUGCAAAGAUCUCCAUAGCCACCACCUCUAAGGAUUGACAUACCGCAAGGAUCUCGUGUUGAGGUUGUUCGUUCUGCAACAAUCUCCAGAAUCUGAGCCAGUAUGUUGCCCUGAAAAGAACCUGCAUAAUUGAUGGUUUUGGUUUAAAAGUAAAAACAACAUCAUUGCGACAAAGCCAAAUAGACCAAAACAUUGCCGCCACUCCAAUUAGAAGAUUUUUUCUAUGUGUUGUUCCCUUGUUAGCAAUCCAGGACCCAAUUAUAUGAUUAAUAUUGUUCGGUCUCUCUAUAUUUAAGGCAAAGUAAAUAAUUCUCCAAAUAUUUCUAGCAAGGUAACAAUCAAAAAACAGAUGUUGAAUAGACUCAUUUUGAUUACAAAAUCUGCAUUUUAAACAACCUUUCCAACCUCGCUUAGCUAAAUUGUCUUUGGUGAGAGUAACUCCCCUGCCUAAAUACCACAAGAAAAUCUUAAUUUUCAGAGGAAGAUUUAGACUCCAAAGUAUAUUGCGAUUUACAGGGGGAGAAUUCAUUAAAAGAAAGUACAUUGAGCGAACUGAGAAAAGUCCAUCUUUGCGAGCCCCCUAAAUGAAUUUGUCUCUCGGUUCUUCUAAAGAAACGGUUGCCAUCAAAUUUAAUAAAUUAUGCCACUCAACCUGCUUCACUCCAAUAAUAGAUCUACGAAAGGAUAGGUUGGGUAUAUUUCCAUUCAUAACAUCAUUGACUAAAACAUUCUUUUUACGCACAAUAUUAAAAAGAUUCGGACAAUGGUCCUUAAGUGGCCUAUCGAGGAUCCAUCUAUCCUCCCAGAACCUAGUCAUUUGACCGUCACCUACAUUGAACCUCCCCCUGCUCAAGAAACUUUCUUUAAUUUUCAUGAGUCCAGACCAGAAAUGCGAGUCUCCAGAUUUUCUCACUAUUUGAGUAAGUGAUUUGGAUCCAAAGUAUUUAUUUUUCAAAAUUUCCUGCCAUUUACCGUUCUCAUUUAGUAACUUAAAGAGCCAUUUGCUAAGUAAACAAACAUUCUUAAUGGCAAGGUUGGCAACCCCCAAACCACCGAUCUCUUUAGGUUGACAAAUAGUCUUCCACUUUGUUAGUCUAUAUUUCUUUUUCGAAUGGCCGCCUUGCCAAUAGAAGCGAGAACGAAUGGCAUCUAAUUUUUGUAACACCCCCGCCGGCACCUCAAAAAAGGACAUCAUGAAAAUGGGUAGGCUGCUCAAAAGACGUCCACCAGAAGAAAGUAAUUUACUUUUCCAGGAACUUAAUCUUUUUUCGAAUCUAUCAAUAACACUCUGCCAUUCACUAUUUCGUAACCUACGAUGGGUCAUGGGAAUCCCGAGAUAUUUGAAAGGUAAUGAACCAAUCCCGCAACCAAAAAGAUGAGAGUAAUUUAGAUCAUACUCCUUAGCUAAACCAUAGCAAAAAAGCUCGCUUUUGUGAAAGUUGAUUUUUAAACCCGACAUUUGUUCGAAAGCGGUCAGGAGUAAUUUCACGUUACGCGCAUGUUCCAAGUUAUGAUCCAUAAAAACAACAGUAUCGUCCGCAUAUUGAAGGAUAGAAAGUCCCCCUUCCAUUAGGUGAGGAACCACUCCCGCGAAUUGGUUAUCUUCUUUCGCUCUUGAAAAGAGUAUCACCAACAUAUCCACAACUAUAUUAAAGAGAAUAGGAGAAAGGGGAUCACCUUGUCGAAGACCCUUAUGUGUAGUAAAGAAAGGCCCAACUUCAUCAUUAAUUUUAAUCCCGACAUGCCCCCCCCAGAAACAAUAGAUUGAAUCCAAGCACACCAUUUCGGUGAGAAACCUUUCAUUCGCAAAGCCUGUUGUAGGAACGACCAAUUUACUUUAUCAUAGGCUUUUUCAAAGUCAAGUUUUAGAAUCAGGCCACUCAAUUUUUUCCUUUGCAUCUCAUGGAUAGUCUCGUGAAGCACGAUUACACCUUCAAGGAUAUUGCGACCAGGCAUGAAUGCGGUCUGCGAGGGAUUAAUAAGUUUAUCUGCAACCACCUCUAUUCUGUUUGUUAGGACUUUAGUAAUAAUCUUAAAACUAACGUUAAGUAAGCAAAUAGGUCGAUACUCCUGGAUUUUUGAGGCAUUAAAUUUCUUAGGUAGAAGAUUAAUAACCCCAAAAUUCAAGCUAUAAACUGGCAGGGUAUCAUUGUGAAAAUCCGCAAACAAGGCUAGUAAAUCAUCCUUUAUUACUUCCCAGAAAGUCUGAUAGAACUCCGCCGGAAAACCAUUUGGACCAGGAGCUUUAUUACGUUCCAUUUGGAAAACAGCCUUGCGAACCUCAUCCAUAGUGAAUGGUGCAGUUAGAAUCGUGUUUUCAAUAUCUGUAACCUGGGGGAUAUCAUAAGUAAUUGAUUCCUCCAUUAUUACUGAGUUGUGGUCUGUCUUCCCAAACAGGGUUUUAUAGUAAUUGGUGAUAUGGUGUUUGAGAUCUCCUUCUUCUAUACGGUUACCCUCAUCAUCCUCAAGGCUAAAAAUUCUUUGUUUUUGAUGUUUUCCAUUGGCCACUAACUAGAAGUAUUUAGUGUUAUUAUCUCCUUCAAGAAGAUGCUUAACUUUUGCCCGUUGGAAGAGACGAAUUUCCUCUUCCUUUUCCUAGUAACUAAUGUGAGGCAUCAUUUGGCACAGCUCUACCACGGACGGACCUAUACCCCGAACCACUCGGUCUGUGGCCCGGGACACGUGAUCCAUGUAAGCGUGUAUAAUUUUGUUCAAUCUAGUUUAAAAUGGUUAGGAUAAAAGAGAAGGGAAGUAAAUAAUUCAAUAAGCUUGGUCAUGGGUAUAGAAAAAUUCUAGAUCCGCCUGCCUCUAGCUCCUGCCGGCUCCAUUUCUAAACUUGCGCUUCCUAGUAACUAGUAUAAUAAGACGUCAUUUGUCAUUGCUCCCACGGACUCCAAUUUCUAUGCAUAUGCACCAUAUAAGGCCUUGUUCGGUUAUUCUUAUUAUACAUGGAUUGGAUGAGAUUAGAAAAAAAAUAAAAAAAAUAAUUUGUUUGGGAUUUAAACUCACCCAAUCUCACUCAAUUCAUUGAGAGCUAACCGGAUAAGCCCCAACAUUACACAAAAAACAUGCAGCACAGAGGUGGACGAUGCCUCUCAUCUGCAAAAUAUACCUUAGUCAGAAUAACUUUAUAUUACCAAUAAUCACAAAAAAUUGAACUAGAGGACUAAAUGCUUUUAAUAAAUAACUCGCUUGGCACGGUUAUGCUGUAUAUAUACCAAGCAAGGAUCCAAACAUAUAUAUUUGUUUUUUACUCUCUGUCUUAAAAUAAGUAGUUUCUGAAGGCCAAAAUUUGUUCGUAACAUUCUGCAGAACACACACACUGUUGUAGUAUGAAAGGUAAUUACGGGGACACGUAAACGAUAAUUUGUUAAACUUUAGAUCCAGGAACUAAAAAAAGGGGAGACGAGAGAGAGGAAUACAUCUUUUUGCUGACUUAUGUUUGCCUCAUGCUUCUAUAAAACUUAUACUAUACUUAAAGCACCAGUUUCAACGGUGGUCACGCGUCAUUUUUUUUACAAAUAACCCCUCACAGCUAUUUCAAUUUAAUCUGCUGCACGUCUAUAGAUGCCAAACGACGCCCGGCACGGGCUAGAUGCACGCGGGCCACAACUAUGACACAGGCACGUCAUGCCGGCCUGCUAACUGUGUCGGGCGAGCCCGUUAGCCCGUCGAUCCAUUUAAUUAAAUCAGCGUAACGACGCCCGACACGGGCUAGAUGCACGCGGUCGGACCAGCCCGUUAGCCCGUCAAUCUAUUUAAUUAAAUCAGCAUAAAAUGUUAAAAAAUGGUGCAGGAGGUGGGGUUCGAAACUCAUGCCCUAAUGGAAGAGGGGUGGGCGACACUGGGUGAAACUGUCUAACCAGUAAAACAUCACAUUAAGAUAUUUUUAAUAUUGAAUAUAAAUUGUAUAUAGGUAUAUACCUUUUUUGUAAAAUAAAAAAGUAAUCGUGUCGGACUGGACCAGCACUACGGGCCGAGGCUACAGCUCAAGCACGUCACGACGUUCUUGGCUCUUGCAGCAUUAGGUCGUUUCUGAGACCACAUUGGCGCAAUGGACUACAUGGUGUUUGAGGUUGCUGAAUUGGAUGGAGCAACAAUGAUUUGUCACACUAACAGCAAAAUGAAAGGUUAUUUGUUGGUUUUAAACGUUAGUAAUUGCUACGAAGUAGCAUAAUUUACAUGGAGCGCAUCCAGUUUUUAUUGAUGCCUGACUUUAGCAAUCACUCCAUAUUUUAAUCUAUCUUUUUUAUAAGUUUGACUUUAUGGGACUUAUUUUAGAAACUUGAUCUCACAAACUCUUUUAUUUGGUCUCUGUAUGAUGGAAUUAUGUCAUUUUAUAAUCUCUGUUCAUUCAGUCAAUCGUUGUGAACUCUUUUCUAAUCGCUCACUUCAUUUGCCGUAUUGUACCAAGACAUAUUUGCAUGGAGUAAACAAUAACAUCAGUUAGCCAAAUUAAAAAAAUAUAUUAUACAGAGAGCAGAGAGAAUCAAUAAAAAAUCUUGAAAUUUUUUUGAUGGAUAGUUUACGUGGGUAUUGUUGUAAGCCAUCAUAACGCACGGUCAACCGACUAAUUAUUUAUUAUGGGACAGAGACAGUACAUCAGACAAAUGGCCGCCUCGAGAGGUGGUUGGAUUGGCGGAGACGAGUACUUGUUGUCAAUGGUGUUUUUUCUUUUCGUAGACAUAAUUUGGCAACUCCAUCUUCCAUAUUUUUUUCAAAAGAAAAAUAAACUCAACUAUUUUUUUAAAAGAAAAUAAAAAUCAUUUAGAAAAAUGAGGACUGCAGUUGCACUGAACGUGACUCACAUUUCCGUGAUGGGGUUAUGACAACUUCACCCCCGAGGGCAGUUGAGAUUGCUGAACAUAGUCUCGUCCGUCUCGGGUUUCUGUGCACGGUCCGCUCGAUCAGUCGUUCUAUUUUCUUUUUUUUUGUCGAAUACGCAGGAGAGCUGCGCAUCUUUGUUAAUAGAAGAAGAGUGCGAACACAAAUACAAAAACAAGAGCUGGCCAACCAGCUCAACACAGAGUCGACUACUCGCUCAGAAUACAACCAAGGGCUUUCGCGCCCGCUCUCACCCACUCGCUAGCAACACCAAGAGCGAAAGAAACUACGGCGUCAACUGAGGAUGCCUCACUCCGGAAGCAUCUUGCAUUUCUCUCUUUCCAAACUUCCCAAGUCACCAACGCAAAGAGAGAAUCAACGUCCUUUCUGGCGCCCGGUGGCCACAGCUCCCGCACUCUUUGCCACCAACCAAGGACUGAACUGCAGUCCGUUAGCGACGGUCUGUGAAGCCCCAAUUGCGACAAAAUGCCAUCCCAAACUCGAAGGGAUAAGCUGCAAGUGGCUAGUAGAUGGUCGCAAGUUUCUUCCGCGUAUUGCAGAGGUAGCAAGUGGUUCUCGCAUCGAGUCCGUGACGCCGUCGCCUGUCUGCGGUCCAGAGCCGCCUCCGCCAGGCAAGCCACAAGAAGAUUUUGACCCUCAACGGCGCCCACGUCUUCCACACGAUCGCGAUCUCGGGUAGGUGGAGAGAGCCUUCAUGGAGCAGCUGGUACGCCGAUCGCACACUGAAAUGCCCGUCAGACGACCAACGCCACAACAACCUGUCCGGGGUCGAAGGAGAAAGGUUGAUCUCUCGCACAGCGUCCCACAGCUUCAGGUAUUGAGAGAUCGCCUGAACCGAAAAUCCUCCCCUCAGUUCCCUGAUCCAUUGGUUCCCUUGCAAGGCCACGGCUACGGACUGUGACGAUCUUGUCCGUUUGGCCACGAGGCCAAUCAGCGCAGGAGCGAUGUCUUCGACCGACGAACCGGCGACCCACCUGUCCUUCCAGAACAACGUCCGCUGCCCGUUGCCGACCUCAAAGUUCGCAGACGCAUGGAACAGGCACCGGACUUCUGGGGCGACCUUCAGAGGUAGCUCCGUCCAGGCCCGGCCAUCGUCCGCGGGAUUGCGUUAAAGCCAAAGCCAUCGAACCUGAAGAGCCAAGCCCAUGAGGCGUAAAUCCAAUACUCCAAGGCCGCCGAACUCAUGCGGUCGUGCGACCACGGGCCAGGCCACGGCGCAUUUGCCGCGUACAGAAGCGUCCGCGCCCGCCCACAAGACGCGUCUGCAGCAGGCCUCAAUCUCCUCUCGCGCCCAAGUUGGAAUACCGUUGGCCAUCAUCGCGUAGAUCGGCACCGUCGUCAUGACUGAUUUAAUCCACACAAGGCGACCACCACGGGACCCGAUAUAGAAAGGCGACCACCACGGGACCCGAAGUGGAACCACGGUUUGCCCCCAUGACUGAUUUAAUCCAUACAAGGCGGCCACCUGAUAAAGUGGUAAAAACAGACUUUCUAUUUUCCCACUCGUGGAAGAUUACAGAGACCCCGAUAUAGAAAGUCUGUUUUUACCACUUUAUCAGGUGGCCUCGUGCCAAAAUAAAAAUAAAUAAAAAAGCUGACGCGGAUUACUAGUGUGUAGUACUAGAUGUCUAGAUUCCUGCGGACUUUGCGGUGCGGCGUGCCAAAUGUGAAGACGGUGCUUGAGAGUUCCGUUGGGCUCAUGCAUGCACCACCUCUCCCAACAAAAGUUUCAGAUGACAGGACGUGGCGGCUGCGGUCCAGUUCACAUGUUGACGUCAUGACGUGAGCACAGUCCGAUACGGCUUCUCUCGUUCGUUCCAACCAAACGGCGGCGGUUAAUUAGGAAACCGGCCGGCCGGAUCCUGUUGACUCCGGAAACAUGGAUUGCUACUACUGACUGUACUGUCACGAAUCAUAAAUUGUCUUAAGAUCACUGUAUAUAUCAUAUAUGGCGAUGAAUGGAUUCCUUUUAGGCUUUUACCGCACUGAUAGAUGAUGGCCACAGCUCAUUCCUUUUCAGCGGACAGACUCUAAUACCGUUUCCUCGUCUUCUUUCAAAAAAAAAAAAAACCUUUCGUCGUGGAAGUGUUCCGUACUCUGGCCUGCAUUGAUCUGAUCUUCGGAUCCAAGAAACGUAGUCCCCUUUUCAGGAAAGGAUCAACUGCGGUUUGUUGCCCAGCUUUACCCAUUCCGUCCUGCUCUCGACCUCCGGCCGGCUAGUUGGCUAGCUGUCCCCGUGCGAAGAGAUCAAGCCAACUCGUUCUUGGCAACCAACCAGCAAGGCGUCGCGCCAGGUCCAAGUCCCGCCUGCUCUGCGGCUGCGACCGCGAGUGCGUCCUCCUCGUCAAUGCUGAGUCUCCUUCCGACUGCCCCUCUAGCUACUGCGUGCCGGGUCCAGGUCCAAUGAACCGCGAGGCCUCUUCUUUCUUUCUUUCUUUCUUUCUUUCUUUCUUUCCUAAACACAAAAGCAAGAGAGAACCGGCCGGCCGGGCUAAUUGCGUGCGUAAUGAGGAUUGCUCGUCAGCACGCUAAUCCGGCCUCCUGCGUUCGAGUUCGAGAGUGCCAAGCCUCCCCCCACGCGUAACCGUAAGUAAUCUUCUGGUGUUUUUUUUUUCGUUUGACCCUGGUGGCGACCCUGUCUUCUCGCUUCUCCCAACCGGCUGGCCUGGUCCAGUCCAGCCCCGCCACCACACUGCUGCAGUCCAGAAGAUUAGUUUAAAGCGACACAAUAAGGGCAGGCAUAGCAUAGGCCGCAUCGACUCCGCUGGGAUAGAUGUCCUGUUAAUUAAUCCACGUAGUACAGUACGUAUUAUAAUCCGGAACAAUGGCCUCGUCAUCACAUUCACUGAUCCACCCCAGCUCUUUUGAUAUGUUCUGUCCCCGGUCGUCCCAUGAUGCUUCGUCUCGUCUCCCAAGUCCCACCCAGGUCCCGGAACUAGCCGUCGCUCUCCGCCCAGCCAGCCACUCAUCAGUCCAGCCUCCUUCCUCCACUGCCUAUAUAUUUGCCUGCCCUGCUGGAGCCACGGCCCCUCUCAUCCAUCCAUGCACAAGCGCGACUCCUCAGCUUCCUCCUCUCCUUCCUUCCUUAGCUGUCCCCCUUCCCGCCACCUCUGACCCGUUUCCUGCUCCUGAUCCUGACGCACGUACGUCUGGGCUGCUGUACUACGCGAUUCUCGCGGCGGCGCCCAUGGACCCGUGGAUCGGGCAGCCUUCCCUGAGCCUGGACCUCAACGUCGGCCUUCCGACGGCGGCGAGGCCGCCUGCGACCACCACCACCGCCGAGGUCUUGGUCGAGGAGGACUUCCUGGCCGUCAAGAAAGACCGAGAGGUGCAGGUGCAGGCGCUCGAGGCGGAGCUCCGGCGAGCCGGCGAGGAGAACAGGCGCCUCAGCGACAUGCUCCGGGCGGUGGUGGCCAAGUACGCGGAGCUGCAGGGCCAGGUCAACGGCAUGGCGGCGCCGGUGGUGUCCACGGCGGGCAACAGCGCCGCCGCCGCCGCCGCCAACCGCCAGUCCUCCGCGUCGUCCGACGACGGCGGCUCCGCGGCCGGCUCGCCGUCCAGGAAGCGGCCGGUCCGGAGCGACAGCCUCGACACCGCGCCCCAGCAUCACAACCGCAAGCCGCCGUCGCCGUACGCGGCCGCCCCCGCCCCCGGCCCCGACCAGAUGGAGUGCACGUCGGCCGCCGUCACCAUCGUCGCAGCCGCCGCCGCCUACCACCACGAGCCGGCCAGGCGCAUCCGGGAGGCGGAGCGCAAGCCCAAGGUGUCCCGGCGAUUCGUCCACGCCGACCCCUCUGACCUCAGCCUCGUAAGUAACGGCGGAUAUACCCCGACUAGACAAGCCAGCUCGUCGUCGUCGUUAACCAUCGCGCGGCGCCUUCCUCGCGCGCGCGCGCGUAAUUAGAUCGGUCAACUAGAUAUUAUAUAAGUAUAUAACUAACUCGUCGUCCCGCUCGCGUUCGACGAAACAGGUGGUGAAGGACGGGUACCAGUGGCGCAAGUACGGGCAGAAGGUGACCAAGGACAACCCGUGCCCGCGCGCCUACUUCCGGUGCUCGCUCGCGCCGUCGUGCCCGGUGAAGAAGAAGGUGCAGCGCAGCGCGGACGACAGCGCCGUCCUGGUGGCCACGUACGAGGGCGAGCACAACCACGCCCGCCCGCCGCAGCACGACGGCGGCGCCAAGAGGUCGUCCGCGCCGCCGGCGGGCGAGGCCGCGCGACCGCCGGCGCCACUGCCGCUGCAGAAGCAAGAGGCCGGGCCGUCGUCGGAGGUCGCGAGGAAGAACCUCGCGGAGCACAUGGCGGUCACGCUCACGCGGGAUCCCGGGUUCAAGGCGGCGCUAGUCAGCGCGCUCUCCGGCCGGAUCCUUGACCAGGGAUUAUAGCCUAAUAAUAGACGAACACGACGAUUAAUUGAUACAGACAUUUUUAUUUCACCCUGCUCUGUUGGCCAGUGCCAUUGAAGCUGUCAAUUAUUCAAGCUAGCUCUAGCACGUACGCCAUUAUCAUCCAAGUUUCAAGCUACAUGAUGAUAGAUGCCUGGAGAUGAUAUGAUUAACGGCGUGCAUAUAUGUCGCCGGAUGCCUGGAUUGCUGAAGAGAACAAGGUUGAGGAUGACCGAGUUUGUACCGCUCCAGGCGGUGUGCGGGUACGUAGAACAUCGAUAUUAUCAUCGCAUGCGCAUAUAUGUAUGCUAGAUGUAACAGUAAGCUAGCGACAAAUUAAACAAGUUCGUGCAAAUCUCUCCGGGUGUAAUUAAAAUUCAAGAUGAUCUAUCACUGUUGAUAUAGCAUUUUUAUUUGAUCGGAUUGCUGUUUUUUUUCAGCAGAAGUACCAACUUUUUUUUCCUUUUCCUCUCCUUUUGGAUUUUUAUUACACAAGCACAUUCGCUAUAUGACCUCGGAUUCGAAAUUGGUUCAAAAUACGAUUGCAACUAGAGCGGGUAUAAACAAAACUGGUCUACUAGUCAUAUAACCAAGAUAUAAGAACACUGGAGAGGCUAUUUAAACAUGAGCUCAUGCAGUUCCGUCGUCUUUGAAGAGAUCUCUCUCGCAUAUAUAUAUCAUACAGUAAAAAUGCACCAAAGUUCUCUAGGAAAAAAAAAGGCUCGUCCCAGUUUAGUUUAUAAUCGGGCUGGGUUCCGGUUGAAACACUUCUCAUGCAUUCAAACUUUUAGACAAUGGAAUGAGGCUCGAUCCUCUCUACGUACCACGAGCUCUACUCUAAGGCUCUCAUACCAAAUACAUCCGAGAGAUGAGCUAGAUUAUCGAUCAUGUAUACGCGGGGUCAAACACAUAGAUGAAUAGAUUAUUAACAUGUAUAAAAGUACAGUCGUUGUGAACUAAGUAGUAUAAUAUAGUUAUUUGUUAGGGUCUUUAUGGUGGACCUAAUCAUCCUGUCUUAACUUUUUAACUGUUCUCUUUAGAUUAAAUCUGACUGUUUGGAUUGCUAUGACUGUAAUUCAUAUAGACAAAAACACUGUACAAGCAGUAGACUAAAAUAGACUAAAAGCAAUGUUUUAAUCCCUUUUAAUUCCUGCGUGAACUAAACAAGACAAAUGAAGGGAGUAAAAACUAAUCCAUGGGAAAAAAGGCAAUUAGUCUUUUUGAAGUAUCCACAGUGACUUCGUCGGUCUUUAGAUUUAUCAUAUUAGUCUUUUCGAACUAGAAAUAAUUAGACAAGGAGUGGAUACGCCUAUAUAUUAAACAAAAUACCAUGCCGCUGCAACGUAGAAUUCGUCAAGAUUAAAAUCAUUUGCACGUUUCGUAAUUUUCUACAUUCUUUAAAACCAUUCACCUAGCUAAAUAAAAUAGUAUGUACUACACAAAGCAGUACUCCUAUUUCAGUAUUUAACUGACUUAAAAAGAAGUGGUCGUAGGUAUUCGUGUUCCGACUUCCGACUGAUUGCUUUCCAGCAAUCAAGCAUCUAGGUCCUUGGUGUCCCCGAUGACGGCGACGUGAACUCCAAGCGAGCAUAGCAGAUGUCGCCGGCCGGUUCGGAAUCGGAAGACGGGGAGAAGCAGGCUGUUUGAAAAAAAAAACAAAAGGCGACGCGUGCGGUGGGACCCGGAAGUCGGGCACACUCGUGGUCCACGUGCGCGGGACAAGGUAGUUGUAGGCUGUAGCUAGUCAGUUUAGUUACUCGGUUCGGUUCCAAAAAAUUAUUGAAGAGACAGAGCUGCUUCUUUGGUCAAAUUUAUACAAUAGAAUGAUAACAGUUAGGAUAUUAAUUAAGUAUUUUUUUAUUAAUUGUACUUUUGCAAAAUAUUAUUUGAUGCUAUAUAUAUUUUUAAAUUUUGUAUACUCUCAGUUAAACUUGAGACGCUUUAGCACUUAAAACGAAAAGAAAAAUAGGAUAAUCUAUAACCUCAGAACGGAGACACCAAUCCUGUCUCCCGCUCCGCUCCCCUCCAGGCUCCAAGCCGGGGGCCCAUGGGACGGUAGCCGACGGGGCCAGGAAGCAGAGCGGAAAGCCGAAGGGAGCAAGCAAGAGCGGGCGGGAGGCGCGUGCCCGCGGUUGGCGUGAUACGGAAGGGGCGGACCCCACCUGGUCACUCUGCUUUGCUGGACGAGGCGGCGAAUCGGCGAUUAGUCAAACACGUGAGUGGCGGCGGUCCCGUCAACGGUCAACACGUCCACGCCAGCUCGUACGUGAGAGGGGAGCACACUCGUCGCGUCGUUGUCGUCUCUGAGGCAGCUCAGCUCAGCUCAGCCUCAGUUGCCCUUGCCAGCUUCUCUCUCGACCGAGAUAGCGAUGGCCGGCUCAAUGGCUGUGGCUCCUCCUCCUUGAUGCGCUGCGACAGCGAGACUAGUCGUAGACUCCUAGGGACACAUCCAUCUGGCGUCUCGCGCGUCUCCAAGAGAGAAGCUUCUCAAGUCGCGGCCGCCGGAGUCGCAAUCCGCGGACAGCUGAAACGAAGCAGACAUGCCUUCGGGAUUGGGAGGGCGCUGGGGCUCGACGAGGUGGACUGGAAGUCUGGAACGCAUUGUUUUUUCUCCUGCAGAACUUGACUGGAUUACCGGUAGGGAUGGAUCCCGAUGUUGUUAACCAAAAGUGCCUAGGGAACGGUCAGAUCUUGAGUCCGCACUAUCCGCGCACUAUCCACGUGUACCGUUAGCGUGUGUAUAAAGUCAGUUAGUGUUUCGGAUUUUUUAUAAGAUUUAUUAGCUAAACCUACGAGAUUAACCUUUAAAACCGAUAUGUUGUAUACGAAGUGAUACGUCAGAUUGAACCUCUACCAUUGAGAUCUCACCAAAAGUAUCGUCGACCAUCCGGCUCUAUGCUGCGGGCCAUUCGUGCCUUUGCAGAGAGCACCGUCAAGUGGUUCGUUGCAGUAUUUGACUCCUAGAUCGACGCCAACACAUUUUUUUGGCGACUUCGCUGGGGAUCAGGUUUCUAGAUCUACUAAAAACGAUGUGUUUGGUUUGGUUUGAGAAACCACUCCAUUUUUCAAAAUGAGAUGGUGUAUUACGAAUCAAUCUAUCAAAUUUGUUGCAAUGGUCCCAUUUCUAAUGCUAGAACCGACUAACUAACUAUUCAGAACGAGGUGGUGAUGAAUGAACUCAUUUUAUUCUAUAAUAAAACCAACAAACAAAAAGGUAAACAACGAGAAGAUAAUAAACUAGUUUAUUUCUCGAACCAAACACCUUUUUAUAUCCAUAUGUCCUUUUACUCUAGUAGCAGCAAUUUUGUGGCGCUAGAUGGCCAGCACAAAUCCAUCUCCGUUGGCGAUUGCUGGCACCUGUGUUUUCCCGUCGCGUGGCAGGCACCGAGCCCCACGAGUAAAACAUCUGAAUCACCUCCUGUUGCCAGCUGCAAGCGCCAGCAGCAGGCGGCCUCGGCAAACACGACAGCGGGCCGGGCGGGCCUCAAUCGCGUGACGAUUUGGCAUCGUACGCCAGAAUCUUUCAAAGGCUUGAGAACUGGGUUACUGUUUCCCGAACGCUCGGAGUUGGGCCCAGCCCAAACUGGAAACAAUGUGCCGCGCUCCCUAACGUGGUUUGGCAGCAAACGUCAUCAGGAUAAUUAAAGGUGCUACUAUUGCUGUACUGCAGUUUUCAGUUAGGGGUGGUAAUGGAUCACGAUUCAAAUAUUUCUUCACAAUAAGUUAUGACCCUUAAUUAAUUUUAGUUCAAAAAUUAAUAGGAAUAGUGUCCGAUCAUAAUCCGAUUCGAUCCUUGAAAUGUAUAGUGUAAAAUCUAGAGCCCAUUACCACCCCUAGUUGCAGUCAAGUUAACAAUCUGUUCUAUGGAAAAAAAAUGAAGGUGACAAGCUAGAAGGGGAAAAAGCCAAUCCAGUUAUUUCACUUGUGACGCACGCAUGCAUCAUCAGGUUGACAGGUUGAGAAACUGUAGAACUUUUUAAACACUCUUGUACUGUAAUAACUUGCAGCUCCGCUGGUGAUUCAGCAGCAACCGGAGCCCCCUUUCACCCCUUCAGACGGUGGAUGCAGCUGCAGCUGCUGGUGCGUCAACUGUCAGUGGCCAGAACUGUGCCACAACGUGGUGGCCGGCUGCAGGCCAGCAGCAGAGCCAGGCACAGGGAGUCGAGGACGGAGCUGCUGCUGCUGCUGCUCUGACGAGCGUGCGUAUCCGACAACAGCAGGCAGCGGUGUGAGCGCUAGCCGGCCUGUCUGUCUGGAUGUCUUGUAUGUCUUCACAUGAAACGGGGAUUGAUUAUUCAAAUGUAUACGGAGAGGACCAUGUCAGAAACAUAUUGCGGGUUUUGGAUUUCGGUCGGAGUAUCAUCUUUGAGCUGAGCAGUUCGUGCGUCGCUGUUCUAAGCCUUUGUGCCCUUUUGCUGUUAUAGAUGAGAGGUCGGGAUCAUUGGCAGCGGUGGUGUGGGCCAAUCCUCUGCCCAUGGCUCCGCGGACGCCGCGCCAUGCUGGAGCACUUUGGUUCUGUGGUAGUGCUACACCCUAAACCCUUUUAGAAAAAGCAAGGCGCAAAGCAUACCUACAUACAUACGCAUGGAAUCAUUUCGAUUUGAAGGCGGCGGUUGACAGCCGUUUUCGUGCAUAAGACCGUCCGUCCGCAAACAAAGCUAGUUGCCACACCAAAGACCAAACUUGGCUCGUGUCGUGUCUCAGUGUCUGCCACCGAGACAAAAAUCGUCGUCAGAAAUUUAACGACGCAUAUUCGUCUGACUGACCCGCCCGUGCGCCUUCCUCCCGCCUCCCCUUCCACCACCAAGAGUGACGACAGAGAGACAGACAGAGAGAAUGGCGGCGCCAGAUGCCCGGCCCUCGUCAGCCGGUCCACCGCCGGCCCGCUCCCUCCUCCUGCCUCUCCUGCUCGUGCUCCUCCUCGCGGCCUACUCGCUCCCAGCCGACUCAGCAGCGCGCCCGUCCUCCAACUCCAACCCACGGCCUGCCUUCACGCCGCCGCUGCUGAAGCGCCACCAGCUGCGGCGCCCGAGCAGCAGCAGCGCCGAGCUCGUCGCCGGGCCCGCCAACGCGUCGACCAAGCCCUUCACGGCGCACUACUUCCCGCAGCUGCUCGACCACUUCGCCUUCACGCCCAACGCGUCCACGGUCUUCCGCCACAAGUACCUCCUCAACGACACCUUCUGGCGCCGGCCCGGCGCCGGCGCCGGCGACGACGGCCCCGGCCCGCUGUUCGUGUACACGGGCAACGAGGGCGACAUCGAGUGGUUCGCCACCAACACCGGGUUCAUGUUCGACAUCGCGCCCACGUUCGGCGCCCUCCUCGUCUUCAUCGAGGUACGUAUAUAUAUACCAGUAAGUAAGUAAUCGUGGUUGCUUGCUUACUCCGGAUGAGCUGGAGCGGCCGGCUCCUCCACUCCACGGGAGCCGGAGGAGAAGAAUCCUAUAUAUACCUCCUACCAGAAGAGACCGUAGCAUAGAAACUCGCGUAAUCUUAGAUGAAUUAGCCACCAUGGGCAUGCAAUUUUCUUCGCGAGCGUUUUGAGCUGCCGGUCCAAUGAUGUCUGAAACUCUGAAUGCUAUCAAGAUACUAACACAAGUCAAACCAACGGGGGAAAAAAAAAUCUUCUGCUCCACAUCUACCCAAGACUAACGUUUCGCUGUCGGUAUCACUGACCGACAUGUUCUUUGCUGACGCUGACGUUGCUUUGUCGCAAACUCGCAUCGCAUAUACAAGGAGCUAGCUGGAAGAAGAGGAGAGGAAAGAAAGAAACGUCGCAGAAAAAGAAAGGGUGAAAAAUCACAGCUAGCUGCAUCACUCGACCACUAGUUUCCCAGCUUGUCUGAAACCUACCGCGCGCGCGCUUGCCUCUGGCUCUGCCACCACUGACGAAACCGUUUCUUUCUUCCAUUGCCUGUCUGCCACCGACGAACAGCACCGGUUCUACGGGGAGUCGAAGCCGUUCGGGAACGACUCGUACAGGUCGGCCGAGACGCUGGGCUACCUCACGUCCACGCAGGCGCUGGCCGACUUCGCCGUCGUCAUCAGGGGCCUGAAGCGGGACCUCGGCGCCGAGGCCGCUCCCGUCGUCGUCUUCGGCGGCUCCUACGGCGGAAGUAAGUCGUCGGCCGUCGAGCAUGUGCUGCUUGUACAGUUGUACGACUACAAGGGGAACAUGACAAGCAGCAGGUUGUGUGCUCCACUGAUGAUGCUUCAUGCUCGUUGUUUUCGUUUGCAGUGCUGGCUUCCUGGUUCAGGCUCAAGUACCCCCACGUCGCCAUUGGUGCCCUAGCUUCCUCCGCGCCGAUCCUGCAGUUCGACCACAUAACGCCGUGGAGCAGCUUCUACGACGCCGUCUCGCAGGACUUCAAGGUAACAAAAUUAUGGAGCACUUCAGUGUCAUCAGUGGCAGCUUCCAAACCCCACAGCUUCUGACCUGUGUUGCCCAGCUCUGCUUGCCGGUGUGGGCUCUGAACCAAUAUCAUGUAGUAAGGACACAUCGGUUAGCAUGUCUUUCAGGGGUCUGGAGGACCAGUGAGCGCUCAGCGUUUUCAGUUGGUUAGCUGCACCUGCAAUUUGACACCUUCCUCCUCACUUGUCCCUGCACUGCUCACGAACAGCAAAACUAAUUCUAUGAUUGAAAUGGUAGUACAUGCAAAUAAUGCAAUGCAGCUGGACCAGGUCCUCACGAGCCAAGACUGACAGUGACAGUUCAGUGUGUUAUUAUAACCUCGACUGCCAUACUUAACCUGUGCCUUUAUUAGAACUGAUCAGGCUCUCAAUGUUACUAGCAACAGGUGCUUGAAAAUCUCGCCUCGGUCGACUUGAAAACUCGCAUUGCGGUUCAGAGAACUCUUCUUUUGUUCUCAAACACCUGAGUGCUUUUCUAAAUAAAAAAAGAAGAAGAAGAGGAGGAAGAGCUUGAGAUGUUUGCAGCAAAGUACCAUUUCUCUGUCACACUGAAGCUUGAGACUUUGACUGACAGUAGCUUGCGACCGAUCGAUGCUUGCAGUCCGAGAGCUCCAACUGCUUCGGUGUCAUCAGGGCAGCCUGGGACGUCCUGGAUGAGAGGGGGGCCACAGACAAAGGGCUCCUGGACCUCAGCAAACUCUUCAGAGCCUGCAAGUAAGCUCGUCAAGCUGAACUAGUACUUGGUUUCAUAGAUACUGCCUGCGAGUGAUGCUUGAUUAAUGGGUUGCGUCGCGUCGCGUGGAGUGAACAUUUAGGCAAGAAACGAGAUGACUUGCAAGUUGCAGGCAGUAAUCAAGGCAUUGAUAAGAACAAAAAAACAGUACAUCAUGCGUGUUUAAUCAUCAUUACAAGAAUACCUUAAAUACAGUACGGCUCAAAUUGUUUUUUUUGUUACUCCUCAAAAUUUCAGGACUGUGAAGUACGCUUAUUCAAUCCGGAACUGGCUGUGGACAGCAUUCACCUACACUGCCAUGGUGGACUACCCGACCCCAGCCAACUUCCUGGAGAACCUGCCUGCCUACCCAGUCAAGGAGGUUGUCCAUUUGUCUGCAAAAGUGAACCUGGACUCCAGCUCUACCGAUCAUGAAGCUUUCGCGUGAAAACAUCUGCAGAUGUGCAAGACCAUCGACGCGUUCCCCGCGGGCGCAGACGUCCUGGAGAAGGCGUUCGCGGCGGCGAGCCUGUACUACAACUACACGGGAGACCAGGCCUGCAACAAGAUAGAGGACGGAGACGACCCGCACGGCCUCGAUGGCUGGCAAUGGCAGGUAAAACCUGAGACUGAGACACAAAGUAGAUCAAUGCCAGUGAACGGUGGCAGCAGUCAGCGAUGAGAUUGUGCGUGCAGGCCUGCACAGAGAUGAUCAUGCCCAUGACGAUCUCCAACGAGAGCAUGUUCCCGCCGUCCGCCUUCAGCUACGACGACAGGUCCGACGAGUGUUUCCAGAGCUGGGGGGUUCGGCCGAGGCCGCACUGGAUCACCACUGAGUACGGUGGAUAUGUAGGUGUCGUUUCAGAAUUCCAUCCACAGUCUGUAGUAAUGAGGAUGUAUGAAGUGAACUGAAACGCUCGUCGAUCUGGUGCUUCGUCGCACAAUUUGCCGCAGAAAAUCGAUAAGGUGCUCAAGAGGUUCGGCAGCAACAUCAUCUUCUCCAACGGAAUGCGAGACCCAUGGAGCCGUGGCGGGUAGGUCUACCUGACUGACCAUUUCUUUUUCAUUGCCCAUCAUUCAUCGUGAUAGUUGAUGGUUGAAGUCUUCUGGAUACAUACACGCGCUGGAGUAUGUAUCUGUAACGCCUUUCUCCCUUGUGUUGCGACCAGGGUGCUCAAGAACAUCUCGUCCAGCAUCAUCGCCCUUGUUACAGAGAAAGGUGAGCAACAGAUUCCAGAAAAAAAAUGUGAGAUGUAGUACCAACCUUUUUUUCCCCUCUCUUUCCGAUUCACUCAUCAGCAGCUGUUUGUCACGGUGUGGUCAGGUGCCCAUCAUUUAGACUUGAGGUCUUCAACGAAGGGUGAUCCAGACUGGCUCAUAGAACAGAGGAGGCAAGAGGUUGAGAUCAUUCAGGGAUGGAUUGAUCAGUAUCAUCAGGACAUGGCGGAAACAUCUUCCUGAAGACAGGGCAAGUCAGUAUUCUUCUUCUUACACAUGGUGGAAACAGGGCGUGUAUCAUCAGGACAUGGCGGAAACAUCUUCAUGAAAACAGGACACCUUCCUGUUACGGUCAUGUUUGGAUCCAUGGAAAAAAAUAAAGGACAAAAAAUCAAUAAUUUACACACUAAACAUCAGAAAUUGCUGAAUCUUACACAAAGCAGGCCCCUUUGUGAAUUAGUAAGGGGUGGUGCAGGUGCUGGGACUUCAAUCCGCGCCAGAGCAGUGAUCGACUGAUCUCGCAGGCCUCUGGCCAGCGGACCAAGGCAGUCUUGAGUCUUGACUCAGUUUCUGUUUUUUUUAACUGUAUUGUUUCUUCUUUUGUUCUCGGCAAGGAACAGUCUUGACAUUUUUCUCUGUUUUAUGCAUGUAGAUUAGGGCUGGGUAUCCAUAUUUCGAGAAAAUAAUAGUAAUUGCAUGGCUAUCCAACAUAUAAUCGAAACUUAGACCCAUCUAACUUCACCUGGUUUAUGAUCCCAAGGAACUAAGAAAAGAUCACCAAGAACAACUAGGUUAUUCUGUACGCAAAAAAUAAAAAAUGUCCAAAUUCAUAUUUUUUUUGACAGAGGGGAUAACCCCUUGUUUCAUUACGAAAUAGAAAAAGACAUAAGUUCUUACAAGACCAUAGGAACACCCAGAAAUUUAAAGCCGACAAGGCACACAACUAUCAGCUACGAAGGACCAGAACCUGACCGAACCAAACUACUAGUAGCAGCACAGAUACAACACAUAGCUGACCAAAACAAAGUUCGCACAGAUCAAACAAGAACAGCAAGCAACGUUCUAGCCCAUAGUUUCUUGUAGCCUGGCGCUACCGGGGAGGGGAAAUAUAGCGAACACAUUGUUGAUGAACCAAAAUAGCCAGAUAACAAACAUAAUUUUUCAUUGGAUUCGUCUGUCAACUGGCUUCCAACCACGAGUUUUGCUGUAGAUCUCACACGCCAUCCUUCUGAUUUUGAGGCUUCCUUGCUCCACCAGUUUUCUUGCCUUCUUUUUUUGACGAAUAGCCCAAGUAUCAAGCCAAUAGCAACAAGAGAAAAUCACAUUAGUCGGAUCAUCAAUUCGGUCAGUUCCAAAGCAACAAUCAUUGCGAUAUCGCCAGAUCGCCCAAAUGACAGCUCCACAUCCAAAUAGGACUAGAUUUUUUUCAGUCUUGUUAAAACUGUUAAUCCAAGUACCAAACAGAUCAUCCACAUUGUUAGGAAUAAAAAUUAAGCCAAGAGCUGAGUAGACUAUUCUCCAAGUAAAUCUAGCAACCGAGCACUGAAAAAACAAAUGGUCUAUGGAUUCUGAAAAUCCACAAAAGGUACAGUCCAGAUUGCCCUUCCACUUUUUUUUUGAACAAAUUAUCCUUGGUUAAAAUCUUUUUAUGCAUAACAAACCACAAAAAGCUUUGAUUUUAUGUGGGAGUCUAGUCUUCCACAGGAAACUAGAAGACAAAGGAAUCUGAGAGCAUUUGAUUUCUUUAUAAAAAGAAUUAACAGAGAAACCUUUGUUAUCCAGAAGCCAAACUGAUUUAUCCUCCUCAGAAAUAUCGGUAUUAUUACAUUGUGUAAUAAGAUUGUUAUAAUCAACUUCUAAAGCACCAUAAAUCCUUCUCCUGAAAUUCACAACUCUAAAAUCAGAAGAAAAAGCUUUUUCCACUGUGAUAUCUUUAUCAUAAGCAAUAUCAAACAAACUAGCAUAUUUAGAAGACAGAGGUUCUAAAUCACACCAAAUAUUGUGCCAGCAGCUGGUGUUACUGCCAUUGCCAACCUUCUUUUUACAAUAUUUGUAAAAAUUAUCCCUAAUAUCCAAAAUACCUUUCCAAAAGUGAGAAUCACUUUGUCUUUUUUUCAAUGAAAUAAUAGGCCUUCCUUUAACAUAUUUAUGUCUGAUAAUAGUCUGCCAAAGACCAUUCAUAUUUUCCAACUUCCAAAGCCAUUUGGCGAGAAGCGCCUCAUUCAUCUUGUGUAAAUCCAAGACCCCAAGUCCACCAUGACCUCUCGGAGAACAAACCAUAUUCCAGUCAGCUAGGUGGUAUUUCUUUUUAGCUUGACCACCUUGCCAAAGAAGCCUUUUUCUAAAGAGAUCCAUUUUCUUCACUAUGUUCUUGGGAGCUUUAUACAUCGAGAGCAUGUAUAAUGGGACAUUGGUAAGGCUGCUAUUAAUCAAGACUAACCGACCACCCAAACUAAGGAAUUUUCCUUGCCAAGCCCCCAUUUUAUUUUCAACUUUCUCUACUGUGGGUAACCACAAGGACUUGCAAAGUUUUGUCAUCAAUCAGAACUCUCAAAUAUUUCAUUGGAAGACAAUUAGAAGGGCAUGUAAAAAUGUCAGCAUACCAGAUUUCCUUAUCAACAACUUCACCUAAACAGAAAAUUUCACUUUUAUGAAAAUUAAUCUUGAGACCAGACAUCUGUUCAAAUAAGCAAAGAAUAAACUUAAGAUUUCUGGCUCCCUCCAGAUCAUCUUGGAGCAAAAAAUGGUAUCAUCAGCAUAUUGCAAACAACAACAACCAUUAGGAAUUAUAUGAGGAAUGAGCCCUCUGAUAAUACCUUCAUCCUUGGCCUUAUGAACCAUACAAGCAAGCCCAUCAGUAGCAAUAUUAAAAAGCAAGGGGGAGAAAGGGCCACCUUGUCUGACACCUUUGUGGGUGGUAAAAUAGGGACCACUCUGUCAUUUGUCUUGAUGGCCACUUUACCACCCCUAACAGUUCUCAUAACCCAGUCACACCAUUUGUCGCCGAAGCCUUUUUUAAUCAUCAUAUGAUGAAGAAAGUUCCAAUUCACCUUGUCAUAA
rnacentral:lncRNA from 1 species